CAACUUUUGGGCAUGUCUUUCACUCCGUCGUGGUGUGUGAGGUUUGUUCUCGUGAUUUGUGGUGAGUGUUGGCGGACUGAAGUGUUUUAUUGCAGAACUUUCGUGGCUCUGUUACUUUCAUGUUUGGAUCUGGUCAUAGGUCUUCUAUACUGUUGAUGGUUGCUUCUUCCGGAUUCGGGUAGAGAUUAAGCUGUGGUUAGACGGUUCUUCGGCAGCAGCGGUUGCGUGUGGCUCUUGGUGUAUCGGCUUUUUGGUCUCCGGCUCGCUUGGGCUGAGAUGGAGGUUUUAUGGUGCUUGCUCAGGUUACUCAACGGUUGUGUACCUAGGGUUCGAGGACGAGUCUGGGCACUGUCAGAGAGUGAAAGGCAUCUCUUCUUUAAACCGCCUCGCGGUGGUGGCAACAAUUGUCUUUCAGUACGCUUUUCUCCAUUGGUGAUUGUGGUUGGGCGGUGGUUUAAGGCAGUGGUAAAGCUUCGUUUGGGCCCCUCAGCGACGGCUGUUGGCGGUUGUCAGUUUGGGUUGGAUUUCAGAAAUCCUCCUUACUG
rnacentral:lncRNA from 1 species